CUGAGCUGAAGUCGGAUGCUUAACCAACUGAGCCACCCAGGCGCCCCUCUUUACAAUGUACGGACAGUUCAUUGCUCGUGACCCCUGGAUCUUCUCCCUCCCCAGUGCCCUUCUUGUGUAAAGCCCCUGGAAGGGUGUGGAGGGGAGAUGACAGAGAUCUGUUCUCCCCGUGGACGCCCCGUCCCAGUGUUUUGUCGCGGCCGCCGUGGGAGGUGAGUUCUCGUCCGUGCGGUGGAGACCAGGAUGGAGCGAGAAGGCGGUUUGGAAGGAAGAGCGCUUGGAACAAAGUGUGCAUGGAACAGACUUGGAACCGAGGAGGACAUGGGGAGUCAGGGCGUAGGGCCGCGGGAGAGGAGAGCGUGUCCGCCUGGAGAACACCUGCCGGGGGUGUGUGUGCUUGCUUCGGCUGGUUUGAUUUUAUUCCAAAUGGUGGGAGUUGAAGUUUGGCCUUUGAGUAGAAAGCCAGGCAGAACUGUGAGCAUCACAGCCCUCGUCUCCCCCCAUCCUCCCCCCCCCAACCAAGCCAGAGCAGCAUGCGGCUACGUGUUGUGCCCCCUCCUGUCCCCACAGUGUUGUCACCGCACCAGCGUCGUGGUUCGCAGACCCCGGUCCAAAUGGGGCACUGCUCUCCAGCCGAAUCCACGGACUGGCCGGUUCGGCAGAGUCAGCCAGGUCAGGGGGCGACAGGAAGGCCCAGUCGCUCCGCACGCUGGACUCGGCCCUCCCUGCGGUGUGACCAUCAGCGGGCUGUCCGCGGGGGUCCUCCUUCCUAGGAGGGGGCUCCCCUCAACCCAGGGAGGGUGCUGCUGUGCUCCGGGCGAGCCGGAGGGCGAGGGCACCCCCGAGUCAACCUGGACCCCGCCGUCGGUUACACAUUCGUGCGUCUCUCAAAAUCGUGGCUUUCUGUUGUUCACGUGGUGGAAACAAGGGUCUUCAGAAUUCAUUUUAUCUUCUAACGUCUCUUUGUGAAGGAGAUUGGGGGAGGAGUGGUGGGGGGAGCACGGGUUCCGGGGCCAGGUCCCCGGGGCUUGAAUCCCAGACCUGCCCCUCGCUCGCUGUGGGAACUUGAUCUCCUUCCCGGUCUCUGAUGCCUUCAUUGUAAGCUAGAGACUCUGAUGGUGGGACCUGCCCCCUAGGCGGGUCACCUCCGUAAAGUACCUGCAUUCGUUUCUGUCACAUCCUCUGGAUAGCGCUGGUUCUCGGCCAGCUCUGUGUCCCAGUGAUGGCACCGACCCCCCCUGCCCGACGUCCCAGUGCUGGGUAGUGGACUGCAAGUUCUGUUAUCCUUGUGCCUUUUGCUGAAACCCCCUCAAAUACUCUGCCCACGUGUACGUCCGUCUGCAAGUGGGUUCUGCCGUAUACUAGAACUCGCAACUUUUUGCUUUUAGGUUAUGGGUACGUUGGUCCGCUUCGGCGUGUGACAAACACAGACUUGACCUUGUGACGUGAAAUAAAGUAUAUUAAAAACAGCCCAAACAAGGUAUCCUCUGUUCUCGUGUGCUAAUGUCUUUGUUUUUGUCUCUGUAUUUCCUCCCCUCUCUCUGUUUCUAGAAGUUGAGAUUUAAAAAAAAAAAAAGGAGGGGAGGUGCAUUUGGGGUGACAAAUAAAUCCACUACAGAGCAUGCCGCCACGUGCCUUGCUCUCUGCCAGUUCCUGGCUCUGGUUGUCUUCACCAGGCCGUAAUUCCUGGUCGUCUGCCGGCUUUCCAACCUGCCCUGUCGUGUCGCUAUUGUAUUACUGACCCCAAGCUCCAGUAAAACAUAAAGCAGCAAAGGCCCAAACUGAGGUUGGCUUCAAGGUGGUGCAGGGCACAGAAAUGUUCGUCUGCGGUGGGUCACGUCCAUCUGGACCGCCGCGUGUUCUGUGACACGGACGGAGUCUCGUUGCUGGAGACGUCGACCUUCCCAUCUGUCAUUCCCUCCUGCACGAGUGGCCUCCUGGCCCACGGGCCCCACGCGGGGGCACCUCCCACCUGUGUCCUCAGGCGAAUCUACUGGAUGGUUUCUUCUGCUUCCAGCGGCUUCCCCUUCCCUCACCCCCCAACCCUCCACAGCCCCUUACCCGGCAAACCCCUGGCCAGUACGGUUUCCCAACUUCCCUCUUGGAAUGCGGGAGCCACACCUGCACUUGGCCGUGUGGUGACCCUGAUCCCGUGUGCCACAGAGCCCCAAAGUGUGCGAGAUGUGCUGUAAGUGUACAAUGCACUUGCUUAUAAUUAGAUUGCUUAUAAUUAGUUUUUUAAAAAAAUGAAGUUCAGUAGUAUUUAUAUUGAUUACAUAUUAUAAUAACAUUGGAUAUAUUGUGUUCAGUAAAAUCCGUUAAAAUUUCACCCGUUGUUUUUAAAUGUGGCUACUGGAAAAUUAGGAAUUGUGUGUAUGUCUGACAUUGGAUUCCUUGCUAGACUUUUCUAUCCUGAGAGUCUACCACAAUUGUCAGCUUUUAUUAGGCACUGAGCACGGUUUGUCUAUUCAGUAGAUGGAAAUCUGAGGCCAGACGUUUUGCGAUUCGAUCAAUUGCAUUAUCAGAUGACGACAAGUUGAAGUUUUUCUAAAGCAGUCAUGUUUCUACAGUCUGAGGCCAACAGGUUGCUUUUAAAAGUAAGUGGCACACUCAACAAAUACUUCAUAAGUGAUACGGAAGUUACGAUUUGGAAGGAUCAGCAAGGAAUUCUCGGCGUUUGGGAUAAUAAAGCACAACCAAGAAACAAAAUCUGAAGAAAUAUGGCAACACGGAACUGUGUCAUUCUUGGGCUUACAGUGGGAACUUAGUUGGCAUGAAUUGUGUUGAAAACCAGUGUCUGCAGUGGCCUCAGAAGACACAUUAAAAAUGGCAACAGCAGAAGAAUGAGUUUUCACAAGGCAGCAGCUAAUAACCCUGAGCGGUGUGUAGGAAACCAGAGGAUUCCGCUUGCAUUGCUGAAAGAAUGUUCUUUUUAUCUAGUAAAUAAUGUGGGCACUGUAGGUUAAGGCUGAUGGUUACCUAUAAGAUCGAUUUCUAAAUAGCUCAAUGCAGUGAUGCCGUUGGGAAACCUGAGAGUUGUGGGAGCAAACGUAGAGGAGGAAUCAAGCCCACUGUCUCACUUUCCGGAUACAGAACCGACCGUCCGGACACAAGGGAAUGCGGGGACCUGAUUAAGAUCUCCCAGGCAGAGGGAGCGAGUGGUAGAGAUGGAACGAGAGCCUGGUCUUCCUGGCCUUCGCCUGUUUGAACCGUAAUCACCAAGUAUUGAUGUGACUUUAUUGUAAGGAAUAUAAUACGUACAAAAGAACAUAUAUGAUAUGUAAAUCUACUUUCAAAUAUACGAAAUACGUAUG